rnacentral:rRNA from 1 species
UACGAAGGGGGCUAGCGUUGCUCGGAAUCACUGGGCGUAAAGGGUGCGUAGGCGGGUCUUAAGUCAGGGGUGAAAUCCUGGAGCUCAACUCCAGAACUGCCUUUGAUACUGAGGAUCUUGAGUUCGGGAGAGGUGAGUGGAACUGCGAGUGUAGAGGUGAAAUUCGUAGAUAUUCGCAAGAACACCAGUGGCGAAGGCGGCUCACUGGCCCGAUACUGACGCUGAGGCACGAAAGCGUGGGGAGCAACAGG